GCGGGGGUUCCCGAGCCUGGCCGAAGGGGGCAGGCUUAGGACCUGCUGCCGUAGGGCUUCGUGGGUUCAAAUCCCACCCCCCGCA
rnacentral:tRNA from 2 species